CACGUAGGGCGCGAGCGUUUGUCCGGAAUUAUUGGGCGUAAAGAGCUCGUAGGCGGCCUGUUGCGUCCGCUGUGAAAGCCCGGGGCUUAACCCCCGGGUCGGCAGUGGAUACGGGCAGGCUAGAGGUAGGUAGGGGAGAAUGGAAUUCCCGGUGUAGCGGUGAAAUGCGCAGAUAUCAGGAGGAACACCGGUGGCGAAGGCGGGUCUCUGGGCCGAUACUGACGCUGAGGAGCGAAAGCGUGGGGAGCGAACAGG
rnacentral:rRNA from 1 species